rnacentral:lncRNA from 1 species
NNNNNNNNNNNNNNNNNNNNNNNNNNNNNNNNNNNNNNNNNNGGACAGACGGACAAAGGGAUGGACAGAAGGACGGACGGAUGGGCCAAUGGAUGGACAAAAAGAGAAGGAGGGAAGGAUGGAUGGACAGACGGACAGACGGAGGGAUGGAUGGAUCAACAGAUGGACAAAGAGAAGGACAGACGGACGGACGGACGGAGCGGUGGGUCAAUGGGUGGGCGAAGAGAUGGACGGUAGGACGGACGGAUGGGAGAGAGGAUGGACGGACGGACAAAGGGAUGGACAGAAGGACAGACGGACGGAUGGGAGGGAGGAUGGAUGGAUGGACGGACAAAGGGAUGGACAGAAGGACGGACGGAUGGGCCAAUGGAUGGACAAAAAGAGACGGAGGGAAGGAUGGAUGGACAGACGGACAGACAGAUGGAGGGAUGGAUGGAUUGACAGAGGGACAAAGAGAAGGACAGACGGACGGAUGGACGGACAAAGAGAUGGACAGAUGAACGGAUGGACAGAUGGAUGGAUGGAUGGAUCAACAGAUGGACAAAGAGAAGGACAGACGGACGGACGAAGGAACGGACGGAUGGGAUUCGGCGGACGGAUCGGCGAAGGGAUGGACGGAAAGACGGACAGACAAGCAGACAGACAGACAGACGGAUGGAUGGAGGGAUGGAUCGACAGACGGACAAAGAGAAGGACAGACGGACGGACGGAUGGAUUGAUAGACAAAGAGACGGACAGAUGGACGGAUGGACAGACAGAUGGAUGGAUCGACAGAUGGACGGAUGGAUCGACGGACAGAGAGAAGGACAGACAGACGGAUGGACGGACGGAUCGAUGGACAAAGAGACAGACAGGCGGACGGACGGAGGGAUGGACAGAUGAGGGACAGAUCGACAGACGGGCAAAGAGAAGGACAGACAGACGGAUGGACGGAUGGAUUGACGGACAAAGAGACGGACAGAUGGACGGAUGGACAGACAGAUGGAUGGAUCGACAGAUGGACGGAGGGAUGGAUCGACAGACGGACAGAGAGAAGGACAGACAGACGGACGGACGGAUGGAUGGACAAAGAGACGGACAGACGGACGGACGGCUGGAUGGAUCAACAGACGGGCAAAGAGAAGGACAGACGGAUGGAUGGGCGGAUGGAUUGAUGGACAAAGAGACGGACAGAUGGAUGGAUGGACAGACAGAAGGAUGGAUCGACAGAUGGACGGAUGGACAGAGGGAUGGAUCGACGGAUGGACAGAGAGAAGGACAGACAGACGGACGGAUGGAUCGAUGGACAAAGAGACGGACAGGCGGACGGACGGAGGGAUGGACAGAUGAGGGAUGGAUCGACAGACGGGCAAAGAGAAGGACAGACGGACGGAUGGGCGGAUGGAUGGACAAAAGAGAAGGACGGACGGACGGACGGGAUGGGAUUUGGCGGACCGAUUGGCGAAGGGAUGGACGGACAGACGGACAGACAGGCAGACGGACGGACGGAUGAAUGGAGGGAUGGAUGGAUCAAUGGAUAGAUCAAUGGACAAAGAGAAGGACAGACAGACGG